AUCUGAAAAUACAUGAGAUGAUCCACACUGGAGAGAAGCGAUAUCACUGCCUUUCAUGUGGGAAGAGGUUCACUCAUUUAUCUGAUUUAAUCGUUCACAGGAAAAGUGUAUGACUGAAGUCACAGUAAGUAGUUCAUGUUCAGAUCCUGUACUUUCAGGCGUGAUGCCGCGUCUUCACUGAACAAGACCCAAUAACAUUAAAUGAGAGCAAGUAAACAUCAUCCAAAGAUGUCAUGGUGAAUUUGACAGAAGAGCGGGCUUCUAGCAGCAAUGGCCAGCAACAGCUCGUUUACUGGGUAAGAUAGCUAAUUUAACAUCUUAAACUCAGUGACAGGUGAACUUAAUCUCUCUUCUCAUGCUCUCCCAUCUAAAUACGUAACGUUAGCUAA